AUUGAACGCUAGCGGGAUGCUUUACACAUGCAAGUCGAACGGCAGCGCGGACUUCGGUCUGGCGACGAGUGGCGAACGGGUGAGUAAUGUAUCGGAACGUGCCCAGUAGCGGGGGAUAACUACGCGAAAGCGUAGCUAAUACCGCAUACGCCCUACGGGGGAAAGCAGGGGAUCGUAAGACCUUGCACUAUUGGAGCGGCCGAUAUCGGAUUAGCUAGUUGGUGAGGUAACGGCUCACCAAGGCGACGAUCCGUAGCUGGUUUGAGAGGACGACCAGCCACACUGGGACUGAGACACGGCCCAGACUCCUACGGGAGGCAGCAGUGGGGAAUUUUGGACAAUGGGGGCAACCCUGAUCCAGCCAUCCCGCGUGUGCGAUGAAGGCCUUCGGGUUGUAAAGCACUUUUGGCAGGAAAGAAACGUAGCGGGCUAAUACCCCGUUGAACUGACGGUACCUGCAGAAUAAGCACCGGCUAACUACGUG
rnacentral:rRNA from 1 species